rnacentral:rRNA from 1 species
UACGGGGGGGGCAAGCGUUGUUCGGAAUUACUGGGCGUAAAGGGCGCGUAGGCGGCACAGCAAGUCGGGAGUGAAAGCCCGGGGCUCAACCCCGGAACGGCUUUCGAAACUGCUGAGCUAGAGUACAGAAGGGGCAACCGGAAUUCCCAGUGUAGCGGUGAAAUGCGUAGAUAUUGGGAAGAACACCUGAGGCGAAGGCGGGUUGCUGGGCUGAUACUGACGCUGAGGCGCGAAAGCCAGGGGAGCAAACGGG